AGCAGGCGCGAAAACUUUACAAUGCGGGAAACCGUGAUAAGGGGACACCGAGUGCCAGCAUCAUAUGUUGGCUGUCCAGAUGUGUAAAAUACAUCUGUUAGCAAGGGCCGGGCAAGACCGGUGCCAGCCGCCGCGGUAACACCGGCGGCCCGAGUGGUGAUCGUGAUUAUUGGGUCUAAAGGGUCCGUAGCCGGUUUGGUCAGUCCUCCGGGAAAUCUGACGGCUCAACCGUUAGGCUUUCGGU
rnacentral:rRNA from 1 species